rnacentral:rRNA from 1 species
CCUACGAGUGGCAGCAGUGGGGGAUAUUGCACAAUGGGGGAAACCCUGAUGCAGCGACGCCGCGUGAGUGAAGAAGUAUUUCGGUAUGUAACGCUCUAUCAGCAGGGAAGAAAAUGACAGUACCUGACCAAGAAGCCCCGGCUAACUACGUGCCAGAAGCCGCGGUAAUACGUAGGGGGCAAGCGUUAUCCGGAUUUACUGGGUGUGAAGGGAGCGUAGAAGGUUAUGGAAGUCUGGAGUGAAAGCCCGGGGCCCAACCCCGGGACCGCUUUGGAAACUGUGUAACGUGAGUACAGGAGGGGCAGGCGGAAUUCCUGGUGUAGCGGUGAAAUGCGUAGAUAUCAGGAGGAACACCGGCGGCGAAGGCGGCCUGCUGGACUGAAACUGACGUUGAGGCUCGAAAGCGUGGGGAGCAAACAGGAUUAGAUACCCUUGUAGUC